rnacentral:rRNA from 1 species
GAUGAACGCUGGCGGCGUGCCUAAUACAUGCAAGUCGAGCGAACUGACGAGAAGCUUGCUUCUCUGAUGUUAGCUGCGGACUGGUUAGUAACACGUUGAUAACCUACCUAUAAGACUGGGAUUACUUCGGGAAUCCGGAUCUAAUACCGGUUAUUAUUUUGCACCGCAUGUUUCAUACGUGAAAUACUGUCUUGCUGUCACUUAUCGAUUUAUCCGCGCUGCAUUAGCUAGUUGGUAAGGUAACGGCUUACCAAGGCAACGAUGCAUAGCCGACCUGCGCGGGAGAAGGGCCACGAUGGAAAUGAGAAACGGUCAAGACUCCUACGGGAGGCAGCAGUAGGGAAUAUUCCGGGAAGGGCGAAAGCAUGACGGAGAAAGGCCGCGUGAGUGAUGAAGGUAUUCGGAUCGUAAAAAGCUGUUAUUAGGGAAGAACAUAUGUGUAAGUAACUGUGCAAAUAUUGACGGUACCUAAUCAGAAAGCCACGGCUAACUACGUG